AUGGAAGUAAGAAAAAAGUAAGACACUUUAGUUCACAUUGCUCCAGUUCACUCUGCUGUAGAAAUGAGUCGCGACGUUACAGGUGCCAAGAUAUAUCGGCAUUUGCCUUUCCCUUGGAUUACACUGGUGGCGUGGAGAGGGGAGGCCGGUAUGCAUGGGGCGACUGCUGGUCUUCCAUAAACAAUA